CGGUUAGCGCNACUAGUCUGGGAGACUAGGGGUCGGAGGUUCAAAUCCUCUCGCUCCGACCA
rnacentral:tRNA from 1 species